rnacentral:rRNA from 1 species
AGAGUUUGAUCCUGGCUCAGAUUGAACGCUGGCGGAAUGCUUUACACAUGCAAGUCGAACGGCAGCACGGGGGCAACCCUGGUGGCGAGUGGCGAACGGGUGAGUAAUACAUCGGAACGUGCCCAGUCGUGGGGGAUAACGUAGCGAAAGCUACGCUAAUACCGCAUACGAUCUACGGAUGAAAGCGGGGGAUCGCAAGACCUCGCGCGAUUGGAGCGGCCGAUGGCAGAUUAGGUAGUUGGUGGGGUAAAGGCUCACCAAGCCUGCGAUCUGUAGCUGGUCUGAGAGGACGACCAGCCACACUGGGACUGAGACACGGCCCAGACUCCUACGGGAGGCAGCAGUGGGGAAUUUUGGACAAUGGGCGCAAGCCUGAUCCAGCCAUUCCGCGUGCAGGAUGAAGGCCUUCGGGUUGUAAACUGCUUUUGUACGGAACGAAAAGGCUCCCUCUAAUACAGGGGGCUCAUGACGUACCG